CUGACCGCCUACUUCAUCGCCGGCCGACUUCGAGAGCGGCAGGAGGAAAGUCCGGGCAACACAGGGCACCACGCCGGCUAACGGCCGGGGUCGAUCGGAUUCAGUCCGGGCGAUAUGGAAAGUGCCACAGAAAAGAUACCGCCCUUCUUUGGAGGGGUAAGGGUGAAAUCGUGCGGUAAGAGCGCACGCGCUUCGGCGGCAACGUCGAUUUGGGUAAACCCCGUGGGUUGAAAUACCAAGCAUUGUCCUCGUUUCGGCGGCCCGCCGGCAGUGGCAAGGGUAGGUAGUUUGAGCCCGUCGGCAACGGCGGGCCUGGAUAAAUGAUGAAGCCUUCUUCGGUUUUGCCGGGGGAGUGACAGAACCCGGCUUAUCGGGCGGUCAACUUA
rnacentral:RNase_P_RNA from 1 species